rnacentral:rRNA from 1 species
UCGCAAGACUGUUAGCGGCGAACGGUCGCGUAACACGUAGGCAACCUGCCCCAAAGACCGGGACAACAGGGGGAAACUCUUGCUAAUACCGGAUGUGGCCACUCCCUCGCCUGGGGGAGUGAUUAAAUCCAAGUAAUUGGGCUUUGGGAGGGGCCUGCGGCCUAUCAGCUAGUAGGUGAGGUAACGGCUCACCUAGGCGACGACGGGUAGCUGGUCUGAGAGGAUGGUCAGCCGGACUGGGACUGAGACACGGCCCAGACUCCUACGGGGGGCAGCAAUUAGGAAUCUUGUGCAAUGGGCGAAAGCCUGACACAGCGACGCCGCGUGAGGGAGGACGGCCUUCGGGUUGUAAACCUCUUUUAACGAGGAAGAAACAAAUGACGGUACUCGUUGAAUAAGCCCCGGCUAACUCCGUGCCAGCAGCCGCGGUAAUACGGAGGGGGCGAGCGUUGUCCGAAGUUACUGGGCGUAAAGCGCGCGUAGGCGGGGAGCCAAGUCCGCUGUGAAAGCCUGAGGCUUAACCUCAGCGGGUCGGUGGAUACUGGUUCUCUUGAAGGCGUUAGGGGGAGAUGGAAUUACCGGUGUAGCGGUGAAAUGCGUAGAUUUCGGUAGGAACACCCGUGGCGAAGGCGGUCUCCUGGGACGUUCUUGACGCUGAGGCGCGAAAGCUGGGGGAGCGAACGGGAUUAGAUACCCCGGUAGUCCCAGCCCUAAACGAUGGAUACUAGGUGUCGGGGGUAUCGACCCCCCCGGUGCCGUCGCUAACGCAGUAAGUAUCCCGCCUGGGGAGUACGGCCGCAAGGUUGAAACUC